GAUGAACGCUAGCGAUAGGCUUAACACAUGCAAGUCGAGGGGCAGCACAAGGUAGCUUGCUAUCUGGGUGGCGACCGGCGCACGGGUGCGUAACGCGUAUGCAACUUGCCCUAUACAGGAGGAUAACCCGUCGAAAGACGGACUAAUACUGCGUAUGCUCACAACUUGGCAUCAAGUGGUGAGGAAAGAAAUUCGGUAUAGGAUAGGCAUGCGUCCCAUUAGCUUGUUGGUGAGGUAACGGCUCACCAAGGCAACGAUGGGUAGGGGAACUGAGAGGUUUAUCCCCCACACUGGUACUGAGACACGGACCAGACUCCUACGGGAGGCAGCAGUGAGGAAUAUUGGUCAAUGGGCGCGAGCCUGAACCAGCCAAGUCGCGUGAAGGAUGACUGUCUUAUGGAUUGUAAACUUCUUUUAGACGGGAAUAACAAGAGUCACGGGUGACUCCCUGCAUGUACCGUAUGAAUAAGCAUCGGCUAACUCCGUG
rnacentral:rRNA from 1 species